rnacentral:lncRNA from 1 species
ACGGCUAUGGAUGGUUCUAGGAUUGAUUGAGACUCUAUAUUCCUAAUGUAAUAGUAUUUUUGAGAUUCUGGAGUCUAUAUAGCUUCAAUUGAUGACCCAUUUAUUGCGUUGGAUAGUUGGUGACGUUCUGGAGAUGUAGAAAGUUUUCAAAAGAGGUUCCAGAGAGCUUUUAUAAGAGUUUUGAAUUUCUUGUUAAGAGACUUUUGUAUAAGGGUUGAGUGGUGAGUUCUUCUUAUAUU